UGGUGUUUUUUUUUUCUCCUCCUCCUCUCGGUGUGGACACCUUAAAAAUACAUAUAUAUAUAUGUGUGUGUGUGUGUAUAUAUAUAUAUAUAAUCGAUAACUAUACGCGUGUACACACACACACACUCACACAGGCAGGGAUGUGCGCGUAUAUACACGCGGCGGUAUAAAACACACGGGAGGAGGAGAGACAAUCCCGGGUAAAUUCCUCGUGCCUCCAUUCCCUGGGAAAGGGGGGAGCAGCCGCUCGCAAGCAUCACCCUUCUGUGGCAAGAGGCACCCGAAAGGAAAACUUCUGCAUAUCAAUGCACUGCCAAUGGGUUGUGUCCUUUGUUGUGACCUCAUGGUUUAACUGGGAAUAAAGAUGAGUAUAAGCAGUGAUGAGGUUAACUUCCUGGUAUAUAGAUACUUGCAAGAGUCAGGGUUUUCCCAUUCAGCAUUUACCUUUGGUAUAGAGAGCCAUAUCAGCCAGUCUAAUAUAAAUGGUGCUCUGGUGCCACCAGCUGCUUUGAUUUCCAUCAUCCAGAAAGGUCUGCAGUAUGUAGAGGCAGAAGUCAGUAUUAAUGAGGAUGGUACCUUGUUUGAUGGUAGGCCGAUAGAGUCUCUCUCACUGAUAGAUGCAGUGAUGCCUGAUGUGGUACAGACAAGACAACAGGCCUACAGAGACAAACUUGCACAACAGCAGGCAGCAGCUGCUGCAGCUGCAGCCACCACCAACCAACAGGGAUCAGCGAAAAAUGGAGAAAAUACUGCAAAUGGAGAGGAGAACGGAGCACACACUAUAGCAAAUAAUCACACGGAUAUGAUGGAAGUAGAUGGAGAUGUGGAAAUCCCUCCCAACAAGGCAGUGGUGCUGCGUGGCCACGAGUCCGAGGUGUUCAUCUGUGCCUGGAAUCCCGUUAGUGACCUUUUGGCCUCAGGGUCUGGCGAUUCGACAGCGCGGAUCUGGAACCUGAGCGAGAACAGCACGAGCGGCUCCACGCAGCUGGUGCUGCGGCACUGCAUCCGGGAAGGGGGGCAGGAUGUGCCCAGCAACAAGGACGUCACCUCGCUGGACUGGAACAGUGAAGGUACACUUCUAGCAACUGGGUCUUAUGAUGGCUUUGCGAGGAUAUGGACUAAAGAUGGUAAUCUUGCCAGCACCUUAGGGCAACAUAAAGGUCCUAUAUUUGCGUUAAAAUGGAACAAGAAAGGAAACUUCAUUUUAAGUGCAGGAGUGGACAAGACCACAAUUAUUUGGGAUGCCCACACUGGCGAAGCCAAGCAGCAGUUUCCUUUUCAUUCUGCACCAGCAUUAGAUGUUGAUUGGCAGAGUAACAACACAUUUGCCUCUUGCAGUACAGACAUGUGUAUUCACGUUUGUAAACUAGGACAAGAUAGGCCCAUCAAAACCUUCCAGGGUCACACAAAUGAAGUAAAUGCAAUCAAAUGGGAUCCAACUGGUAAUCUGCUGGCAUCCUGCUCUGACGACAUGACUCUAAAGAUCUGGAGUAUGAAACAAGACAGUUGUGUCCAUGAUUUACAAGCACACAACAAAGAAAUUUAUACUAUCAAAUGGAGUCCUACAGGACCAGGAACAAAUAAUCCAAAUGCCAAUCUUAUGUUAGCAAGUGCAUCCUUUGAUUCUACUGUUAGGUUAUGGGAUGUAGACAGAGGAAUUUGUAUUCAUACUCUGACAAAACAUCAAGAACCUGUGUACAGUGUAGCUUUCAGUCCUGAUGGCAGGUACCUGGCCAGUGGCUCCUUUGAUAAAUGUGUACACAUCUGGAAUACACAGACAGGUGCCCUAGUUCACAGUUAUCGGGGAACAGGAGGGAUUUUUGAGGUUUGCUGGAAUGCAGCAGGAGACAAAGUUGGAGCAAGUGCUUCAGAUGGUUCAGUUUGUGUACUAGACCUCCGGAAAUAGCGCUCUUAGUUGGAAGCCAUGGACCGACUAUGAAUGUGUACAUAGCCAAAAUGACUGUCCCUGACCCAUGUACUGCUAUAGUCCCAAUCGAACCAUGGCCAGUCCACUACAGCCAAAUGUAAAAGAAAUAUAUACAUAUACUGUAUAUAAAAAAAAAAAAAAAAAGGAGAAAAAAAAAAAAGAGGAGAAAGAAAAAAAAAAUUACACCCUGAAGAGGAUGACAGAGUUUUGUCACAGCUUGUGAAUCCUGUUCACCAAGUGCUGGAAUCUGCUGUGCCCCAAAAUAACAUUUAAAGGUUUUUGGAUAUGAAAAACAGAAGAGAGCGAGAGAGAGAGAAAUAUACCAUAUACAAGAGCAGACCCAUAUACAUACCAAAAUCAGAAGAUACUAAUGGCAGCCUUCAUUACCCCUUCCCCCAUGAAAUCCAUUCUCACGUGGAUUUGUGGGGUAUUUUUGUUUUCCUUCAGUAGUUGAGCAGUUUGUGUGUACAGAGAAAAUGGACUUACAGAAAUCUGCAGCAGUAGUUUUUUUUCUUUGCUUUUAAACAUUGGGUUUUCUGUUUUGUUUUGGUUAAGUUUACGGAUGCAUGAAGUAAGGGAGUGAUUUAGUUUCUUGUUUAUAUUUUUUCACCUUGAAAAAAAAAAAAAGGUGUUUCUUUGAAACAUGUUUUGAUGCAUUCUUUGAAGAGGUAGUUUGAACCUGAUAGUGUUUGGUACAUUUUGUGGCUCCCAGAGCACAAUUUUGUGAACAGAGGGAGGGUGGAAAAGGGAUUAGGGAGAGAGAAGAAAAAAAAAAAUCCUUCUUUGCAGCGUGAUAUUCCACGUCCUUCUCAUCUACAAAGCAGGACAGAAAUGGGUAUAAUGCUAUGUUUGAUUUUUCUGGUGACAUGGCUGAAAUGCAGUAAUUUCUUAUUUGGGACAUAAUUCUGCCAAACUUAAGAACAGAAGGGCACAAAAACACAGGAAAAAAUAAAACAAACAGGGGUGCAAAAAAAAAGGAGAAAAAAAUAAAAGAGGAAAAAUGCAUCUUCUGUUGCUUUAAGACCAUAGCUAAAGUAUGGUUAAAUUGUGCACUAUUGUGAAAAGGAGCAAAGUAUAGCUGGGGGAUUUUGUUUAAGAGGUUAAGAUCUUUCUGGACAAGGGUUCACGCCACAGCUUCUUUGAGAGUUGCCCAUCAUUAUUUGUAGGAGCUUAGAUGUAUAAUUGUAACCAAACUCCAGUAUUAAAAGUAUUUCAUGUAAUUUUUCUUUAUUAAAAUAAAAUCUUUGGCAUAUAUUUGAUAACACUGCCAUUAAGAGGCAAAAUGUUUACUACCUUAGAUUUAAAAAAAAAGAUCUUAAACAGAGGACUUGCUUCAAGUUUAUUUUAAUAGCAGUGAUUCAGCUUAUUUAAAAGAUGAAUACUUGCACUAAUUCCCCUGCUGCUCCAGUCCUGCAGUUUAUUGUAUCUUGUGACUACAUUUUUUUCCAAAUAUAGGGUAGAUGUAAGCUGCUAUUUUUUUAAUAAUCACUACUAUAUAGUGUCUUUUACUCUGUUUACAAUAUCAAGUAUUUUUCUUACAAUGACAGAUGUAUAUGGCAAACCUUUUUCUGCUCAUGUGAUUAAAAGUAUACUAAUAGUGAUUUUAUUUGUAAAUGAUAGCAUGAGGUUGUGUUUAUGCGUAUGUGUAGUCGAAAAGGUUGCAUCAUGUCUUGCAUAAGGUUCCAAGAGUGUAAAUUUAUAAAAAGAGAGGUUGUCAAAUUUAUGUCACAGACAUUUUACUUAAGGAAUGGUUUAUAUUACAGAGCUUUGCAAAGUUAUCGGUUUUAUAACACUAUUUCAAUCACAAUUAAUUUUGUGACUUAUGAUUGUUAGUCUCUAACCUAUUUUUUUAUUCAUUUGGGGUUUUUUCCCCUCUCAAAGUUAAGUAUAAAUUCAUUAAAUUGAGAUAAUGCAGCUUUGACAUUUUAACCAUCGUUCUUUGGGCAUCGAUUUCUGCUAUUUCCAUGAAAUAAACAUGACUUGAAGCAAGUCUGAGUUUGGCUAAGGUAGGGUAGCAAUUUGCCAGUGGUUGAGAGGAGUCAACAAUAAUACAUGGUUUAUAUACACCCCAGGAUUAUACUGCUAUCAUACACAGUGUUUAAAACCAACACCAAGUCAUAUCCAUAAAGACAGUUAUCUGUGGUGGUUCUGUGCCAGCUAUUUUUAGGGUUUUGGAACAUAUUGGAAAUGUUUAGAGCAAUUACCCUGUGAGUUACAAUAUGUAGGAAACCUAAUAUAUUGAGUGUCUGGCACUUGAAAUAUUGCUUUUAUUGCUGGAGGUCCAUGACUGUGGCUGACCUCUGUCAUUUAAUGAAAAAAAAAUAAAAAUAAAAAAAAAAUCUGUGCAAUAAUUUUAAACUGUGCUCCCAGGAAUAGACACAAAUGUUUUGAGUAUGUUUAAGCUGCAUUUUUCAUUUAGCAAUGCAUUUGUCAAUUGCACUGAAUUUAAAUCUGAAAGUCAGAAGUGAUUCUUGAUAGUACUUUUGUAUUUUAAUAUGGACAGUUUAUUCAUUUUCAUAAAAGUUAUUGGAUGAUUCUUUCAGCCAAUCUAAACCGAAUUGUGGUGGAAUUCUGUGACAUAGCUGCAAAAUCACACAGCCAUGUUUUAGGGUAUUGCCAUUUUCCUCUUUCUCAGUCAUCAGCUGUUUUGGUUGCAAUUUGCUUCAGCAUAGCAUCACACACUCAGAAAUAGAGAACACCAGAGCUCCAGCGUGUCCAGGACAGGGCUGUCAGGAACGUCGGCUCCGUUGGCUCGAGCGCUGCGGGCAGAGCCCCGGCCAGGGCCAGCAGUGCCACGGGGCCAGGCCGGUGUCCCCAAGCUGAGGUGUCCCACUGCCACAGGGCCAGGCCGGUGUCCCCAAGCUGAGGUGUCCCACUGCCACAGGGCCAGGCCGGUGUCCCCAAGCUGAGGUGUCCCACUGCCACAGGGCCAGGCCGGUGUCCCCAAGCUGAGGUGUCCCACUGCCACAGGGCCAGGCCGGUGUCCCCAAGCUGAGGUGUCCCACUGCCACAGGGCCAGGCCGGUGUCCCCAAGCUGAGGUGUCCCACUGCCACAGGGCCAGGCCGGUGUCCCCAGGCUGGUGUCCCCAAGCCGAGCUCCAGCCGUAGCUGUCCUGCCUCGCAUGCCACAGUGCUGCUCCUGCGCACCCGGAGCCGCCGCACGCCGGGUUCUGCCACCCUGUCAACCAAAAACCAGACAAAAACACCACAGAACCGUGACUUUAAUUGUUGUUUUGAUAACACAAAGGCCUCGUGUUCCAGGCUGGGGUAGACUGUCCAAAUUGCUCCUUUCAAAGGGGAAGCCAAAUGGCAGCAAGGCCCUGACUUUGUGUAGUGUGUACGUGCGUGCUCAGUCUCAUGGAUGGAGUCAUUCCUAUUUUUAUCUGCUCAACACGAUGACAGGCAAAUAUCCAAACAGAGGAUAAAAGGAAGGGGAAAAGCUGGGCUCAGAAUUAAUGAUGGGGUAAGAAAUGAACUGCUCUUGAGUUCGCUGUCUUUCUGUGCAUCCAUCUCAGAAUCCCGUUUGUCAUUUUUGCAUGACCAGAUCCAGGUUUCUGUAGAGUUUGUCUUUUUCUAUUUUUACUUCACCUUUUUCUGCAUUUUUAAAUUGAUGUAAAGAUUCCCAACCAGUGGACUUUUUAGUGUAGUUAAGAGAAUAUCUAGGUCUUCAUAAAAGCUUUUUUAGACUCUUUGUAAUGUUGAUAAACUGAGUUUAUUCUGGGACUACCAUUGUGCAGGGUUAUUUAGCAUGUCUACUAGAUGAUUGGAAAUCUUAUAUGAAACACUAAAAGUGCCUCUUUUUCUGGGUUGGGUGGAGGGGAGGUAGUAGUUACCAGAGUCAGAACGACAUGGCAUUUCAAAGCAUGUUUCUUGAUUUCGUGACACUUUAAUGCAUCUUGAGAGAAAGGCCAAAGAUUUCUACCAAUUUUAAUUGAUUUUCAUUUUAAAAAGCACUCCUUUUUCCUUACACUGCUUACCUCAUGCUGGGGCGUCUGAUGGGGAAUGUCCUUUGUGUUCAGGGAGAGCAGUGGGUGGCACCGGGCGGCCGUGCCGGUUUGCCAGCAGAGCGACCUCAGCAGCUGGCACCUUUAAUUCAUUAAAGGAGCUUCAUUGCCACUGCAGGCCGGGGGGUUCAGCCUGUAAAUACAAGGCUGUGUGUUCAGCAAAGUGGGGGGGAGCCUUGGGACCUGAUUUUUGCAAUCUUUACUUCCCCAAAAAUCCCACGCUCUGUCACUCCACCCUUGCCAGGGCGAGCGCUGGCGGCGCCGUGCCGAACCCCGGUGCGGAUAAAAUCGGCCUCAUCCCCCGUGUCCGUGGGGUUUCGCCAGAGCAGGGCCUGCUGGAUUUAGCCCAGUUCCUUUUUGGCUGAAGAGCAGGAUAGCUCCUCCCUUCCCAAAGCCCUGUAGAGCCAUUCCCCGGUGGGAUCACUUCCACCCUCUCCAGACGCCUGAAGAAAGCAGAAGCAACAUUGUGGCAUGUUAGCAGCAAAUGCGGCUUCGGGAGACAGCAGUAAAUCUCCAUCAAGAUCCCUGACAUUUUCCGUAGGGAGAGAGACAUGGAGCAGUCCUCACUUCUCCCUCUAGAGAAAGCUCUGAAAUACCACGAGCUGUGAAAGUGUGACUGUCUUCACUGUCAGUCUGGUGGGAGGCAGACGAACCAGGAAAAUCUGCCAUUUCGAGUGGAUUGCAGAUUUAGUGUUAAUAGUGCUUCAGAUCAGUAGUUUUGAGUACAUAAUUCGCUUUCUCUGCCUUUAAGUUUGAAGCUUGACAAUAACUUGAGGCAUGUUUUUGUUUUGUUUUGUUUUUUUAUUUUUAAAUAAUCAUUCAUUUUUACUUCAUAAUGUUUUUUGACAUUUGUGGGUAAAUACAAGAAAACAGUCUGCAUGUUGUUGCUAGUCCAGUGUACUUUGCAAUCUUGUCCUCAACAGACUGCAGUGUGCAGAACAGUAAUUCUAGAAUACAGAAGUAAUUUUCUCUCUCUCCUGACAUUGACAUUGUAGUUGUAAUGGUUUCAUUUGGAGUUACAAAUCCUUUGGGUCUAAUUCUGUGAGCCUACCUAUAGCACUGGAUUAAAAUGUCUGCAUCAUUUCUUCAGUUAUCCAGUUAAACUACAACUGUUGUAAAAGUGUAAACCAGCCCAUGACAGUUUUUUGUACUUGUUUAAAGGACUUUUAUUGUUCAGUUUUCAUGAUUAUUGUCUAAAGAAGACUGAUAUAGAUGUUCUAUACUGUCCUGGACCAUGUUAAUUACACUUUAUGAUGUAUUUUGGUUCUACAUCACAAUGAUUUGUCCCCAAGGCCCUUAUAUCCCUUCUAGGCACAUUUUCUGUUGCAGUUUCCCUUUGCAUUGUAUUGCUUUGACAACUGUAAUUUGAAUCAGAUCUGAAAGAGGUCCAGAAUAAAAUAUAUUUUGAUAUUA